UCGCCUUCAGAGAGGCAACGCCAACGCCUUUGGGCCACAAGCUGCAAAUGCUGGCUGACUGGCACAUUUCUCUCAAAUUUACCAAAAAGGCGACCGCAGGCAAAAGUUGAGGCACCAACAACAAUAACAACAACAUCAGCGACAA